GCGCUUGUAGCUUAAUGGAUAAAGCGCCGAGCUACGGACUCGGAAAGUGUGGGUUCAAGUCCUGCCAAGCGUG
rfam:Monoraphidium neglectum strain SAG 48.87 mitochondrion, whole genome shotgun sequence.